CUGUCUGGAUGGGAAUUUCCUGGCUAGACCACACAAGACUUUUGGCAAUAAAAUAUUUUACGUUGUGUAUGAAGCUCAUUGACUCAGUGAGUCAAAGAGGUUUCCAUAUCUGUCUGGCUGAAUGAACUUCCUGUGUGAGCUACCCUGAGCAACACAAGCAGCGUUGUGAGCCACACCCAGACUCAUGAGUAAAAAGAGUUUCACUCUGUAACGUUACUGUCAACCGAUUACCAUCUUCCUGACUACGCCUCAGAGACCAAAAGCUCGGUCGGUACACAACCAAACAGUACGGGAACGUUCUGGUAAAGUUCAGAAAAAACGAGCAUGUGAAUUUGGAGUUUCAUGUGAAGUGAGAAUUGUGUCGGAUUAAGAGUGUUUACUUGUGCGUGGUAUUGUUAGGCUGAGAGAGAUUGUGCGAGAUCACAGGCGGAACUCACUGGCCUAGUUCACUGCAUCUGUCAUAAUCUGGUUCGACUUUGUGACAGGCCAGCCAAAAAAAAACAACCCCACUAAAACUGAAAAGCUAAGUCUGCUACCUUAAAUUUCUCGUCACUACUGAUGGAGAAUUUCAAGAUGAAAAUUUGGAAACAUUAAAUUGGGCAGAAAUUACACAUUUAGCAUUUCAUGAUGUUAAGAUUAAAACGAGAGAACAUAAGCAAGCCAAUGGGGUAAGAAGACUUCUUUUUUCAGAUAACAAGACUUAAGAUCAUGCCAAAAUUCUCUUCACAAAUGCUUCUUGAUUUAAGGAUGUUUAGAUAUUUAUACUGGGAAAACAAGACAAAAAUACUGAGUAAGACAAUCACCUUUUGUAGGUUUUUUUUUUACUAGCCAUUAAUAUCCCCUGAUGACAGUUUUUGUAAUAUUUACCAUAUUUUUAUAACUUAACAUUUUUUUUUACUUUUUCAUUGACAUUUAUAGGACCAUUUAAAUCAAGGAUUCCGGAACCCCUUUUAGCCUAAAAUAUUUUCUUCAAGAAAAUAUUUAAAUAAUUUAAACUUUAAUACAUAUGUUCACAAUACUCUGAUAUCAGUUAGUGGUCACAUGACAUGGAGGUAAACAUUUUUUAAAUUUAUAAAAAAUAAUAAUAAUAAUUGUAUUAAUCUUUUCAACAUGCCCCAGUAAAAAAAAAAACUCUGAUAUAAAGUAUUUAAAAAGUACUUAAAAAAAGAAUGUUGAAAGAAUUCUGAAAAAUAACCCCCCCCCCCAAAAAAAAAGGCUUCUACCAAAACCUACAUUUUUCUCAUGAUCACGAUGCCCAUUCCAUAAUUGCUUUAAUAUGAAACUCUUUCUGUAAGCUCCUCUGUCUCAUGGUUCUGAGCCUUGCCCUCUUCUCCUCAGCCAAACUCACGACUGUAUUUACAACCUCUGACUGGCACAAGGAUUAACGUGGGAAGAACACGCAGAACUGUGUGAGAACCCAUCUGCUCCCCGGGUGAACAAUUCCUACAUCCUGCAGGUCCUUUACUUUUACUCAUGAUAUAAAGCCACACUGCUUUCCUCUUCAACUAUGCCUCUAUACAUCUCUUUGUAUCCUUGGUUAACCCCUCCCCCUGAUGCAUGUCUACACUCUGUGGCGUAGGCAUCUGCCCUCAACAUCUGUCACCACCCGUCACUGUGAUAUUAUCCAUCCAGACCGGCUGAACACCCAGCCCCCUCUGUACAGAUACAGAGAGUGAGCCACAGACACUGACUAGUCACUGUAUGACAAAAACACCCAAUGACUGGACUAAAAGAUUUUUCUUUAAGGGACAGAGAUGCACUUUGAAGACAAGACAGGAAAAGUAUAUAUGAAUACCCUGCGUGUUUGAUUGAGGGUGACAUUGAGGGUUCACAGCAGCUGUUUGACACACACCUCUCCAGCUGUUACUAGGUCAGCCAGGAUUGUCAAAUCUGCUUUGGUUGCGAGUACAGAAGUGCUAAAGGUUGUCAGGACAGCUGUCGUGAAAACAGGAUGUCUUUGCGUCAGCAGGCGGGACAGGUGUGCGAAACAAGCACCAUCUGAAAAAUCAUUCGGCUGUUAGGGAAUUUACAGUUUGGGCCUUCUGCUGCAUGUUAUUCAGAUAUAUGCCUGGAAAAUACUCACUUUAAAACAAUUAUCUUUAUGAUGUUCUGGAAUUUCCCCCAAAAUGACAACAGAACAACAUUACUAUAUGUUUUCUCUCUGUAUAUUUUUUAUUUACAAUACUUUUUUCUUUAAUGCCAGGUAAAAGGAUUAAAUGCAAUACAUAAAUAUGAACAUAGUAAGGAGGUUUUUUUCCACACGAAUUUGCAUAUAACUAAAGGCUGAAAUCAAACAGAUACAUACUCUCAACAGAUACAUUUUUCUUUUUUUUUUUUAAGGAAACCUCACUCCCU